UAACAGGAAGCAGCUUGCUGCUUUGCUGACGAGUGGCGGACGGGUGAGUAAUGUCUGGGAAACUGCCUGAUGGAGGGGGAUAACUACUGGAAACGGUGGCUAAUACCGCAUAACGUCGCAAGACCAAAGAGGGGGACCUUCGGGCCUCUUGCCAUCAGAUGUGCCCAGAUGGGAUUAGCUUGUUGGUGAGGUAACGGCUCACCAAGGCGACGAUCCCUAGCUGGUCUGAGAGGAUGACCAGCCACACUGGAACUGAGACACGGUCCAGACUCCUACGGGAGGCAGCAGUGGGGAAUAUUGCACAAUGGGCGCAAGCCUGAUGCAGCCAUGCCGCGUGUAUGAAGAAGGCCUUCGGGUUGUAAAGUACUUUCAGCGGGGAGGAAGGUGUUGUGGUUAAUAACCGCAGCAAUUGACGUUACCCGCAGAAGAAGCACCGGCUAACUCCGUGCCAGCAGCCGCGGUAAUACGGAGGGUGCAAGCGUUAAUCGGAAUUACUGGGCGUAAAGCGCACGCAGGCGGUCUGUCAAGUCGGAUGUGAAAUCCCCGGGCUCAACCUGGGAACUGCAUUCGAAACUGGCAGGCUUGAGUCUUGUAGAGGGGGGUAGAAUUCCAGGUGUAGCGGUGAAAUGCGUAGAGAUCUGGAGGAAUACCGGUGGCGAAGGCGGCCCCCUGGACAAAGACUGACGCUCAGGUGCGAAAGCGUGGGGAGCAAACAGGAUUAGAUACCCUGGUAGUCCACGCCGUAAACGAUGUCUACUUGGAGGUUGUGCCCUUGAGGCGUGGCUUCCGGAGCUAACGCGUUAAGUAGACCGCCUGGGGAGUACGGCCGCAAGGUUAAAACUCAAAUGAAUUGACGGGGGCCCGCACAAGCGGUGGAGCAUGUGGUUUAAUUCGAUGCAACGCGAAGAACCUUACCUGGUCUUGACAUCCACAGAACUUUCCAGAGAUGGAUUGGUGCCUUCGGGAACUGUGAGACAGGUGCUGCAUGGCUGUCGUCAGCUCGUGUUGUGAAAUGUUGGGUUAAGUCCCGCAACGAGCGCAACCCUU
rnacentral:rRNA from 1 species